GCUGCACGAUGAUGAUUGUUUGGCUCCCUCUACUGAUAUAUGUGAGGAAAGCAGCCACAAACGUCACCAAUCUUUCUGAGUGUAGC
ensembl:snoRNA small nucleolar RNA SNORD100